CAGCAGCCACGGUAAUACGAAGGGGGCUAGCGUUGCUCGGAAUUAUUGGGCGUAAAGGGCUCGCAGGCGGUUUCUUAAGUCUGAUGUGAAAGCCCCCGGCUCAACCGGGGAGGGUCAUUGGAAACUGGGAAACUUGAGUGCAGAAGAGGAGAGUGGAAUUCCACGUGUAGCGGUGAAAUGCGUAGAGAUGUGGAGGAACACCAGUGGCGAAGGCGACUCUCUGGUCUGUAACUGACGCUGAGGAGCGAAAGCGUGGGGAGCGAACAGGAUUAGAUACCCGUGUAGUCCCUGUCUCUUAUAC
rnacentral:rRNA from 1 species